rnacentral:rRNA from 1 species
UACGGAGGGUGCAAGCGUUAUCCGGAUUCACUGGGGUUAAAGGGUGCGUAGGUGGGCAGGUAAGUCAGUGGUGAAAUCUCCGGGCUUAACCCGGAAACUGCCAUUGAUACUAUCAGUCUUGAAUACCGUGGAGGUAAGCGGAAUAUGUCAUGUAGCGGUGAAAUGCUUAGAUAUGACAUAGAACACCAAUUGCGAAGGCAGCUUACUACCCGAAUAUUGACACUGAGGCACGAAAGCGUGGGGAUCAAACAGG